rnacentral:pre_miRNA from 1 species
CUGUGGUGCAUUGUAGUUGCAUUGCAUGUUGUCUGACGCUGCAAUGGAUCUCCUCUGCAACACAG